rnacentral:rRNA from 1 species
GACGAACGCUGGCGGCGUGCCUAAUACAUGCAAGUUGAGCGCUGAAGGUUGGUACUUGUACCAACUGGAUGAGCAGCGAACGGGUGAGUAACGCGUGGGGAAUCUGCCUUUGAGCGGGGGACAACAUUUGGAAACGAAUGCUAAUACCGCAUAAAAACUUUAAACACAAGUUUUAAGUUUGAAAGAUGCAAUUGCAUCACUCAAAGAUGAUCCCGCGUUGUAUUAGCUAGUUGGUGAGGUAAAGGCUCACCAAGGCGAUGGUACAUAGCCGACCUUAGAGGGUGGUCGGCCACAUUGGGACUGAGACACGGCCCAAACUCCUUCGGGAGGCAGCAGUAGGGAAUCUUCGGCAAUGGACGAAAGUCUGACCGAGCAACGCCGCGUGAGUGAAGAAGGUUUUCGGAUCGUAAAACUCUGUUGGUAGAGAAGAACGUUGGUGAGAGUGGAAAGCUCAUCAAGUGACGGUAACUACCCAGAAAGGGACGGCUAACUACGUG